ensembl:lncRNA
GUUUACAAUAUUUAUAUUGAUUAUAUUGUAUAGCCUAUUGGUUUGAUAAAAACUCUAAUUCACAGACCCAAUACCGUAAAAAAAAUAGUAAAAAUAAAUAUAUAAUGUGUCACGAAUCAUGAUAGUCAAGUAUUCAAAUGCAUAAACCAAAGAACAAAAUAUGAAAAUUGAAAUGAAAGUUGCAAUUUUCUAAAAAAAGUGUCAAUAAUAAUAGUAGGCUAUAGUAAUAGCAUAAAUGCACAAUUUAAAGGGGGCCAGUGACUAUACAAAUCUAUAGUAUCUAAAAUAUGUGUGUAAAGUUGCCCAAUCAUCAAGUAUGUAUGCUAACUCAGAAUGUUUUGCAGCCAACAGACCAAAAACAAAAACUGUAAUAUACUCUGAUGUACAGCAUAUGAUAGAAUCCAACCACUUUCCAUAUUAUAGGCACUAUGUAUUCCUGGGACCAGGGAGCACAAUUGAGGAAGGUGGAAUGAAUAAAUACGCACGUUUUGCCAAGGCCGAAGUUUGACUAAAAGAGCAACAAUCGAUCUGACCGAAAUUGAGCUGCGGUCUCCAGUGGGUUAGGCAGAGUGCACUCCACUGCACCACUGAGGCGAUGACAUUACACAAUAAUCAAUCAUCAAUAAAGAGGAUAUAAAUGACAUUAAAAUGUAUCUGUGUAUUUCUAUUAUUUCCCUUAUGGUUUUUUUCAUGACGACGAAUAAAAAACGACAGUGUUACCCCUUAUAUUUUAUUUGACAAAGACAACAGUGUUACCGUUUAUGUUUUUUUUCAUGACGACCAAUAAAAAACAACAGUGUUACCCCUUAUGUUUUUUUUCAUGACGACCAAUAAAAAACAACAGUGUUACCCCUUAUGUUUUUUUUCAUGACGACCAAUAAAAAACAACAGUGUUACCCCUUAUGUUUUUUUUCAUGACGGCCAAUAAAAAAACACAGUGUUACCCCUGAUGUUUUGUUUUCAUGACGACCAAAGAAAAAUAAAAGUGUCACCCCUCAUGUUUCAUUUGAUGAAAACGACAGUGUUACCCCCUAUGUUUUAAUAGAUAAAUAUCGACAGUGUUACCCCUCAUGUUUCAUUUGAUAAAAACGACUAUGUUACCCCUUGUGUUUUUUUUUAUGACGACCAAAGAAAAACAACAGUGUUACCCCUUAUGUUUUUUUCCCAUGAUGACUGAUGAAAAACAACAGUGUAUUUAUAUUUAUAACCCUUAUAUUUUAUUUGAGAAAGAAUAUAUGUAUUUAUAUUUAUUUUUUCA